GGUGGGGCUCCGGGGCGGCUCCGCCCUUGCUCUGCUCCUCGCCCCCGGCGACCCCGCCAGACACCCCGCUGAGGCUAGGAGGUCAGCGGUGCCGCCUCCGUACGGAAAAUAGGCCCAGUUCCCGCGCCCCAUCCCCGGCCCCCGCGCCCCCUAGGUGCUGAGCGCCCAGCCCCGGGCUGCCGGGUAGGGCCUCACGGGCAAGCGGGCGAAUGGGAAGAGUCGAGGCCGCAGAGCAAGGUCUUUGAGAGGUCGGGCCUCGACCUUGUCUGUCGGCGUCGCCACAGACCUCGUCCUGGGCAGGGGUCCUCUGCCGCUUCCAGCCCGAAGGGGGCCUCGGGCGGGGCGCUGACGGGCUAGUGCGUGGGGCCUGUGCUCUGCGGGCGCAGGGGCGACAGGAGCGCGCCCUCUCCUCUGGCCCGCCGCAGCGCAAGUGGCCGGCGCCCGCCCACCCGGCGCUCAUCAACCCCCAAGCUGGAUUCAGUCACCUGCCGGCGGCUUCGGGACAGCCCGGAAAAGGGGGAAACAGGGAUGAUCAAGAUCGCGGUUUAUGUGAAGAUGAAAGAAGAGUAAUAUCAGUUCACUAAGGACUUGAAGAUGAAGACCUGGGACAUAUUAGCUCCUAUGAUAUUUCUUACCCAGUUUGCAUCCUCUGAGACUUCCUCUGAGUCUGUAACCGCUCUGGCUUCCCAUGAAAUGUGCCUUUAGGCCAAGAAUACCCUGGAGAGAAGCCGAGUAUCCUUCCACUGCUGCCUAUAUUGGUAAAGAAGCUGGUGUAUGGUGUGGUGCUUCAGCCUCUGAGCUUCGCUAACCCAGUCAGACUGGGGAGACAGACCUGCUCACAGGGCUGGUCAGUCAGGUCUCUGAGCCCACAUGGCUGAGGCCAACCCCAGACCCUGCAGGAACAGAGCCUGAUACUGAGUCUAAACCUCUGGACAAUUGGAAAUGUAUGAGAAUAACCUUGGCAAGUUUGUAAACGAAGAACGAGGAGGAGAGAUUAGCACGUUAAACUCUUUAAGAGAUUGGCAAAAAUGAAAAAUAAAAACCUGGUAAUACCCUGUGUUGCAAGAGCAUGAGGAAAUGAGCACUGUCACGUGCUGAUGGUGAGAGUGUGAAUCGGUAAUGUUGCCGAAAUAUCGGCUUCCUGUGCACCAAUGCCGAACAGAAAUACAGAGACAGAGAUUUUGGAGGAAGAGAGGGAUGGCUUUAUUUUUCUUCCAUGCGCAAGGGAAGACAGAGCAUGCAGCGCCUCAAGAACUGUGCCCCUCUGUCCUGGGGAAUUACAGGGGGUCUUAUAGGUGGAACCCGCAGUCCAGGGUAAGUGAAAAGGAUCAAAGUGGUGAAUGUCUUGCAUUCUUCUUCUUCUUCCAAUAUUUUAAAAGUUACUGCUGGCGUCAGGCAGCCUGGUAAUUGGGUCUGUUCAUCUCUGGGUUAUCGGCCUGCGACCUUCUUUCUGAAAUGUAAACAGCUAAGAGGGGUGAUUUGCUACAAGAGAAUGCAGCAAGAGUAAGUGCCAGGUGCAGGGUACAAUUCAUAUGGAAUCAGAGAGUAAUUGGUUUUGCUUAGCUUUGUGA